UCUCCUGGAAAACGGGUGGUAAUGCCGGAUGUUCCACAUGAUCGCAUGUGAUUGUGGGAAAGAUUCUAUCGGCGUGGGAUGGGGUCGCGUCCUAUCAGCUUGUUGGUGAGGUAACGGCUCACCAAGGCUUCGACGGGUAGCCGGCCUGAGAGGGCGACCGGCCACAUUGGGACUGAGAUACGGCCCAGACUCCUACGGGAGGCAGCAGUGGGGAAUAUUGCACAAUGGGCGCAAGCCUGAUGCAGCGACGCCGCGUGAGGGAUGGAGGCCUUCGGGUUGUAAACCUCUUUUGUUUGGGAGCAAGCCUUCGGGUGAGUGUACCUUUCGAAUAAGCGCCGGCUAACUACGUGCCAGCAGCCGCGGUAAUACGUAGGGCGCAAGCGUUAUCCGGAUUUAUUGGGCGUAAAGGGCUCGUAGGCGGCUCGUCGCGUCCGGUGUGAAAGUCCAUCGCUUAACGGUGGAUCUGCGCCGGGUACGGGCGGGCUGGAGUGCGGUAGGGGAGACUGGAAUUCCCGGUGUAACGGUGGAAUGUGUAGAUAUCGGAAA
rnacentral:rRNA from 1 species